CUAGGUUCCCUUUGACUGUGUUGAGCAAAUAUGCAAACAGCAAUGUGAUCUUCUCUAAAUCGCCAGCCAUCUCAGACAUUCAAAUCUCCACAGGAUCUUCACUCACAAGAAACCCUUCAAUCAUUCAUUCUCAAUUACUAACCCUAAAUACCCAAUCUCGGCUCCAAUUCGAUCAUCACCCGAAUCCCUUAGGUUUUUUUUUUUCUUUUCUCACCCUCCCCAUUUGAAGGUUCUACUCUUUAUAGUUCUAAAUAUCAUUUCAGCAAUGGAGUUAUUUCUAAUUUGAAAAACAAUUGUCUGAUUUGAGAUUCAGCUUCAGUCAGUAGAGUCGUUUAUCUUCAGAAAGGGAUGGGGGAGAGAUGUGGAGGAAGACUUAAUCAACUGUGGAACCAAGUCCAGUCGAUGGCAAUGAGAUAUGAAGAUAGGUAAAAUACCUUAUGGGAGUUUUUGAUUCUUUUGUACUGGGAUUUAGGUUCAUACAUUGUAAUUGCGUUUGUUGCACUAUGAUUUCUGUACACAAACGAUUGCAACCAAAAAUGAAAGAGCAGCAUGCUUUAAGCAGAGGAAAUAAAGUAAAAUGUGCAUGUAAACAAUUUAGUCUUGUAAUGAAACACUUGACAAUUCUUCGGAAGAGGGUUUUUCAGUUGUGGACAAAAGUAUCUUUCCUACAGGAUUUUGGUUCUCGGAGUAUGAGACAGUUGCCAUUAUCAUAGAUGUACUCUGAAGAACAUGAGUGUCAAACAUAUAAAAAAAAUGUAUCGAAUAUUGGUGUUUCUUGAUGCUGGUGGGGUUUUGAGCCCAUUUAGACACAGGAGGAAGACUCACUUGCCUCCAGGACAAGGCCUGUCACUAUUGCUCUAUCCGAGGCAGAGGCCGCAAAGCUCUCUUCUUGGUCUUUUGGAACUGCUCUGUUCAUGGCGUGGCAAGAGCUGGUGCAAUUGCUUAUUACAGGAGAGAACCAGCCUUCUCUUAUCAAAUGACAUACUGAGCAGUUGGACCAUCCUAUAAGAUAGAACACAUAUGGUAAUCUGUAGAGAAAGAUAGAGCAGCAGCAGCAGAAGAAGAGGUGUAUAUUGCUGGAGACAGACAGGAGUUUCUGACAUCCCACACGAGGACUGAGUAGAUGAUGAAUCAUGGAUUGUAUUUAUUUUUCUAUUCUUUUGAAACAAAAUAGAAACUGAUUCUUGUAGUUGCUCAGACUGUUAAAAAGAAAGAAUCGAGAGUGUGGUGGGGGCACUGUUCUUGCAAAAACAAUAAGUGUGAUAGCAGAGGUGAGUGCGUGUGAGUGUUCACAGUUUUUGCCUUUGUAAUGAUAAGAGAUUUGAAUGGCUGGCUGCAAAUUAUGCACGUAGUUGUCUCCUUGUC